rnacentral:tRNA from 1 species
GGGGAAGUGGCUCAGUGGUAGAGUGUUUGCCUCGCAUGCAUGAAGCCCUGGGUUCGAUUCCUCAGCACCA